AACAACAAUCUACAUUUACCAAUCCACAAACAGUUCAUGCGAUGCAUUUUCAUACAGCUAGCGAUCCUUAGAGAUGAUGUAUGUUUCUAAACACUCCUUAGGCGCUGGAUGAUGCAAUGCACAAUACAACAAGCAUCCUAUUUAAAAGUGCUCCCCACCCGAAAGCUUUGAUUUUAAACUCUAUUUAAUCAUCCAUAAAACCAUUUGAAAAUCUUUUUAAAAUUGUUUUCUAUUCGAAAACUCCAUUUUGAAACCGACUACCUCAAGGGGUAGAAAACCACGAUGCAUAAAUAUACAAAUUCAAGAACCAAUUAUCCAUAAAACCAAAACCACAUAUCCACAAAUCUCUAAUUACAUGCAUAAUGAAAAUCAUCAACUCAAACAAGUUCACGAACAUUCAAACAUUCAAAGUGAUUAUCUAACUGAACCAUUUAAUUAUUAAUUUACUAAAUGCAGAAAUAAAACAUAACCGGGGUGACGGUCGCUACUGCAGUCUAGCUAGUACGUCCUCUCAUCGCGCCCAAAAGCCAACUCCUCGCCCGAGUCACCUGGAAAAAUGGAGGGUGGGAAACCACAAUCAAGGUUUUCCAGCUGGUACGACAGAGCCACGAAGGCAAGUCGUAAUCAUCGGAAACCAAAGAAGGUAAAGUAAACAAGUACAGAUGUAGUGAUACGAAAGAGAACUACAGUAGUUAUAACAGAUAUGAUAAGAAGCAAGUAAUAGAAACUGCUACUGUAAGGAACACAAUACUGAGCAUGCCUCAAGAUAAUCAAUCCAAAACUGUACCCAAUCUGGUGCCUGCUAUAUUGGUCUGCAGACCUCAAGUAUUGCCUGUCACAAAUCCGCACCGACCUGAUUCAUCUGCCCACUGGACGACCCAUCCGGAUAAGUACACCUCCGGUCGGUGGCCAAACCGACCUGGUGUCAUGAAUACUUCCAAGUGCUAUGACUAAGUCAUGCUAAUAUGCUCAAUGCGAAAGCCGGCUGAAGCCGGUGCCUUGGCCGAAGCCAGAUACAAGAGCGUACAACGCCAAACCAUGAUCAACCAAAUUGAAACACAUGACAAAGAAGUCGAUGUGUUGCCUGGACCCAAGGUCCACAGAGAUACAAGCCUGCUCUAUAUGUCUAUCAACCACAAAUAAUAUGCAAUCAAUAAGGUAAGAUAAACGAACGAUAACCAAACAACCGACAUAUAGAGACUACAAUGCUGAAAUAGAAGAACAGAGGAAGGUGAAACGAUCUCACCGACUACCAGCUCGAAGCACCCACCUGUCACAAAUACGUCGACAACCUAGGUACGCAAUGAGUCAACCGGACCUACGAAGAUCCACUGGGUCAGUAUCCAACCCAACAAACCGAAGGACAUGACUCACGAACCCCUACACAAGUCCCCAAAAUCAACUUCCCAAAACCGAUCACCGUAACUCGCAAGAAAUCACACCGGGAUGUCGUCGUGAUCCACUAAGUGUCCCGAAACUCACCGACUCGUGCCACGAGUCACCUGCUGCCACAAAACACACCGAUUUGGAUGUCUUGGCGGCAAACACAAGGUAACACAAACAAACAAUUAUCGUUGGAUAAUUGUUCAGAUCCGGGUUCCCAGAAGUGUCUAUUUCGACACCGGAACCUACUGUCGCUCACCCGUCAUCUCCGAACUCACGAUAUGACGAUGGUGACCGGCCGACAAGGCUCGGCGACAAAGCUCAAGGCAAACAAAUGACAUCGAAAGAAAUCCAACAGUAGCCACAAGGUGCAUAAUUACAUAAGAGUCACAAAUGCGCCGAAAAUGCAAAUUUGGAAGCCGCUGAUCCAAAGUGAGGUGAGCACUGUGAUCAGCACUGACCAAUAAUCACCGUGCUCAACUCCGGAGGCAUGGAGACAGCCUUGGAUCACCGAAAAAGCGUGCGCAAACCAGAAACAGCAACCAAAAUAGCACCACAAGGCUUAUCGGAGCAGUCGGAGCUAGGGCAGGCCGGUGGCGACUCUGCGGCGGGCACGCCAGCGAUCGACGUGUGCGGUCGACGUGGGGAGGCCGGGGCUCACCCUUGCCGGCAGCGGGAGGCGGCGGUGGUGGUGGCGGAGCAAACUGAGCCCACACAAGCCGAGCUCGGGCUCGAGGUGCACGCCGGCCUCGGCGGCGGCCGUGGUGCCUCGGGGCGGCGGCGAGGGUCGCCAGGGCUCCGAGGGAGGCAGCAGGAGUGGCCUCAGGCGGCGGCGGCGCACGGGCUAACAGCUGAAGCACAGCUCGGCCCAAUCCCGCCCAAGGAACCCGCAGGGCUGAAGCAGUGCGGCGGCGGCGCUCGGGGCGGCGAGGACCGACUGCCUGAGGUCGAAAGGAGGCCGCAGGGGUAGCCCAGGGCGGCGGCGGCGCGGGAGAGAAGUCACAAGGUAUGCUCGGCCCGAGCAGACUUGGGGCAGCCGCAAUCUGUCGAGGCGGCGGCGGCGGCCCGCAAGGGCGGCGGCGACCGGCGGGGAAGGUCGCCGGCGCUCCAAGGAAGACGGCGGUAGCGAUCUCAAGCGGCGGCGGCGCGAGAGGAAGGAGCUGAAGCUCCCUCAACCCGUGCUGACCCAAGAUGACUGCAAGUGGCCUGGGCGGCAGCGGCGGCGCUCGUCGACGGCAGCAGGCAGCAGAGGAGGCUUCGACGAGGUCGGGGCGACACCGGCGGAGAGCGAGGAGGCACUGUUGCCUCAGCCCUUCUCUCAACCAGAGAGAAAGAGAGAGAGGGAGAGAGAGAAUGAGAGAGAGAAUGAGAGGAAGGAGAAGGUGGCUGCGGCUGCGGCUGCCGUCUGGGGCUCAGUCGGCGGCAGCCGGGAGGGGCUCAGUGCACGAGGUGAGGGGGGAGUAGGGUGGCUAGGUCAGCUGUGGCUCAUCUAGGGUUAUGGUUCCAAGGUAAAACCCUAGAAUACAAUAUAUAUAUNACACACACACACACACACAUAUAUAUAUAUAUAUAUAUAUAUAUAUAUAUAUAUAUAUAUAUAUAUAUAUAUAUAUAUAUAUAUAUAUAUAUAAAACCUCAUUUUACGCAAAGAACCCCCAAACUCAGAUAUUUUAAACCAAGUCCCUCAUAGCGCGGGUAAAAUGCGCGAACACACCUCCACAUCUGGUUUAAUGCAAAACGGUACAUAAAAUGUCGCGCUUUUCACAAAAUUACCGUUUUCCCAUUUAAGACCCCUCCUCGGUCAACGCGCGAUAUCAGCAGAUCCGAUUUGCGAACGGAUUGCACUAGUGCGAUCAGUACGACAGAGACAACAAACUCACAAUUUCGUUUCACCUCGUUUGGUCACGGAUUUGCGACAAAACCUAUCCUCUCUCCAACUUUCCAAAACCACACCUAAAUAUAAUUGCAAAUCCAAUAAACUCCCGUUUUCUCAAAAAUCGUGCAUCAAACCUAAAAUUUGUCAGCGCCAUAGGUUCCAGAAUAGCCAAACCGUUCAAAAUGAGCUAUUGGAUCGCUAUGAACGGAGUCCGAUACGUGCCAGAAGCCAACUUUACACCGUGGCCUCUUCGAAAAACCGAGUUACUAUUCACUUUAAGUGAAAACUGAAGAUCGCGUAAAAUCUUCGUUCUAACUCGUUUUCUCCCAAAACUUGACGAGUGCUUUUGUAAUUAAAUUACACACAAAAACAUCCUCAACAGAGAGUCUAACUGUUCUGUCAAAUUCUCAGUCCUUAUAAUAAUGGAUUUCAUGGUUCGGCAAUGCCGAAAGUGCUGGCGCAGUCCGUUCGCAAAUUUGACGGAUGGAUCUCCUGUGAUUGUGUGAUUAACGAAAAGGGAAAUUGGCAAAAUAGUUUUUCACAAAAAGCCCCUAUAUUUUAUGUACCAAAUCGCACGAAUUCGUACAUAGAGAUGCGUAUGCGCAUUUUACUUGCGAUGUGGAGGGCUUGGCUGCAAAUUCUGAUAGUUAAGGGAGUUUCCUGAAAUUAUACACCCUUGUAUAUAUGGUAGCACCUAGGGUUUCGCCUUUUUAAACCCUAACCUUAACCCUUUUUCAUUCAGCCGAGCCCCCAGCCGCCUCGCCUCUCACCCUUCUGUGCGCCGAGCACCCGCCGGUCGCCGAUGACCGAGCUCCGACCGGCCAACCGCCACCACUGCUUCCAUUUUCUGCCUCUCAUUUUCCUCCUCCACCAUUAUCCUCUUUUUUCGGCCGAGGACAAGCCAGGGAGCACCCCCUACCCUCGGGCUCCCCUCUGGUGACGUCUCCGACCUCCGGCGAGCCCUUCCAGCCGGCCGCAGCCGCCCUCGAACACCGUCGUCGCUGCUGCUGCAAGAUUGGUGCCACUUAGGGCAGGUGCGGCCACGCUGUGCUACGUCACCUCUGCCACCGUCGUCCAUCAUCUCCUCCCCUCCCUCUCAACCCUAGAGGAGGCGUGCGGCCCUUCCUCGGUGGUCCCGGCCUUCCCUGUGGCCAGAGGAGAAAUCGAACCAUGGCCCUAACCCAUGUAGGCUUGGGUUGUUCCCGCACCGACAUUGCCGCUGUAACAUACCGAAUCUCCGGGUUACGAUACUAACUUUGAUCUAGCUAAUCAAAGUGAAGCUUGAGCUGGAUGUGCGUUGUCCCCGAGCAGUUCUGGAAGCGUGGGGAUGAUUAGAAGUGAAUUCCUGAGGUAUUUAGACGUUUUCGGCGCAAACUGAGCGCGAAAACGAACUCCCAGAACAAUUCUGCUGUUAAAGUGCAGAAUUGGCACUUGGUACCAGUACCAGAGCAAUGCAGUACCGGUGCCUAGUGAAUGUGUGGUUGUAGGGCGUACGGGGUCCGGACCUUACGAGGCUGUGUACCGGUACUGAAGUUGGGUACCGGUACCAGAAUAGCCUGGUACCGGUAUUGGCCUGGUGUAUCGGUACUGCAUAGCGAGCAGAAAUCGCGUAGCUCUCGAGUAUGGGAGCUGGUACCAGUACUAAGUCCCGAGUACUGGUACCCAGACAGAUGUGGACUAAAAUGUAAUGGUGCAAGUUGGUAAAUGUGAGGGGGUUUAAUUGUAAUUGUGGGGCUCCUAUAAAUACCCUUAGCCUCCACCUGUUAUCCCCCUUGCAAAAGUACUUUGUUUUCUCCUCCAACCUCUCAACUUCUCCUCCUUCUCUCUCUAGAGAACUCCAAUCCAUGGUGGAAUUGAAGGGGAUUGAAGCUAGAAUUUGAGGAUUUAGGAGAAGAAGAAGCCCAAGAGCAAGCAGAAGUUCUUGGAGUAAGAACCUAAGGUAGGUUUCUUACAAUUUCUUGAUUAGGGUUUGGUUUUAUACUCUAAAUUGCUAGGUUUUGAAGUCUCUAGGAAUUCUAGAGCUUAAUUAUGCAAAGAAAUCCUAGAAACUUAGACUCAAUUGGGUGUCUUGUAUGAACCCUUUGGGAAAUUAGGGUUUUGUAUCUAUGAGAGUUAGCUUAGGUUUGAUCUCUUGUAGCCCUAAUUGGAGUAUAAACCGACACAUUGGGAAGCUCGGAUCGAGAUUCCGGCAAGUCUACGCCGAGUUAUUGAGGAAAAACCUCAUUUCGGCUUCGUUUAUCGUGAGGCGAGAGGAGCAGUUGUCCAUAAAUCGCGGGAAGUGGUUUCCUCGCACUCAGGCAUCACUAGAAGGUGGGUGGUGCUAUCCGAAGUCUUCGAAUGACUUACUAUGUCUAGUCAUUUUCUUGAGCAUCUAUAAAUGUGUAGAGUGAAUUCAUGCAUUAGGGUAAAUGUGGUAUGUGGCAUUAUGGUAGUAUUUUGUAUGCUUUGAAAGUAAAGUACAUGUGGACAAUACAUAGUAAACUUAGAAACCCUAUAGAUGUAUGAAACGGUAAGCUAUGACACUAGUGAACAAAUGGCAUGGAACUAGACGACAUGAGUAGCACCUAGUAUUGGGAAAGCUUAACAAGGAAAAUAAACUUGUGACAUGAAUAAGAUGAGUUGGUUAGCAUCUAGAGUUUGGAAAUGCUAAACAUAGAAUAAAGAGCUUAUUAAAAGUGUGGCAUUGUAUCCUCCAAGCGAGGAUUGGAUCGUACUCACAGGUAGUCUGAAUGCUCGAGGUAAGUCGCUCCACCUUGGGUGGUGAGCUCCAGAGUAUCAUCAAUUGGGUUGAUAGUAGAAUUCUCCCCAGUAGACGGUCCCGUCGGGUUGUAGCGGUAUUCUCCCCGACAAAAAGGGAUUUGGUUUGGUGAGUUGAGAUUUAACCAAAGGGUUAAACAAGUGGAUUGGGUAAUGAUAAGAGCAUGCAUGCAUCAUGAGCAUACUAUUUCUGUUUUCAGUUUAUACAAGCAUUGUAGUAGUUAUAGUUUGUUACUAUCUAUCCUUUCUUGCCUACAUAUGCCUGAGUAGAUAUAGUGGGUGAGUCGGCGAGGUCGGCAGGUUCCACUGGAAACUUUCAUCAGUUCUCACACUAACAGUGCAGAUCCUAGCGCGAGCGGGGCGAUCGAGGAUCGGGGCAAGGGUAUCGCGCCCUAGAUAGCGGGCCUCCAUCGAGUUUAGCAUGCACCCUGUUUGUGUUCCUCUUUUGUAGCUUGAUGAAAAGUGCUAUGUAAAUGAACUAUGUAACAAGGAAAUGAUAUAUGUAUUUUGGAGAAUCUAUGAUGUAAAUUGGAACCUGAAUGUAAUAAAGUAUGAAACCUUGUAUUUUGUUUCAAUCUUGCAAAGUACAAUGAAUGCUUAGAUAGUUAUUACUUUCACUUUAAUUGAUGUUGCUUGCCCUCGUGCAAGCCAUAUAUAAUGGAAUUCAUCCUAGAUGAAUUUAUUAUACAUGUUGUUGUGGUUGUUGAGCUUUGGACGGACAGAAGAGGUUCUGUCCAUUCGACGUCUGUUGGACGUGCCCGAACCGACCAAAUUGGCGGUCACGGGGCGUGACAGCUACCUCCCAUCGUCGGCUAGUGCGUGCGUUGACCUCCCCACGUCAGCCGCACUCCCUACCGCCGAGCCGCCGCCGGCCGGGCUUUGCCCCCUCUACCCAAACAAGCCCGAUUAGGGCUUUUUCCUUGUGCUUUCACUAUUCCGGUGACCUAGGAUUGAUCCGACGCCUUCGGAGUUGAGCACGGUGACCUAUGGAGAGUGUUGAUUACAGUGCUCACCUGAUUUGUUGUGAGCGAGGCCCGAAUCAUCGGUUUCGCCUUCGUUGCUCCCGGAACACAUUCAUCGCUGGGCCGGGUCGGCCCCUAGCCCGUUUCGCCUGGAAAAAUAUGGGUCAUGCCGGCCCGGCACAGCCCAGGCCUGACACGGGCCGGGCCUACGGGCCGCAAAACUCAACCCGGCACGACCCGGAGUACUGGGCCGGCCNAAUCGCAACAAAAUUUAAGAGGCCAUGCUCUAAUUAACGGAGCUCAAAUUAAAGGGCCUAAGAAGUGCUGGUGGUUACGUGGCAACUUCGUGGUGUGCAUUGGAGAGGUGCCGCAGCCUUUAAUUAUGCACAGCUCUAAUUAAGGCAUGCACACCAGUAGAGAGUCGGCAUUGGCUUGGUUCGUACGGAUUGACAGAGAAGCUUUUUUCCGGAGUUGCUUGUUGCGCUGUUUCAGAUCUAAUUAAGUUUUGGUCUUUUGGGAGAUUCUCUUUGUACUCCGCCUUUUCGACAUUAAUAAAUUAUUUGCUCCGCCUUCGCCCGUGGACGUAGACCGUUGGCCGAACCACGUAAAUAUCGGUGUGCUCUUUCUCUUUAUCUUUUUUUUUCUUGCAUUAAAUUAUUUUCUGGAUCUAUUUUUCGCCAUUCCGAUUUUAACAUAUAUAGACAGCAAGAAGGGACCACAGAGAAUGAAUCCAUACCAUUUUCGUGAUCAAAGGGGAUGAAUAAGCCGAAACGAAGCGUCGCUAACGGGAACGGUGCGACCGGAAGAAGCGCCGACCAUGAACCCAGCCCAACAUUCUGUCUAGAGAGGGAACAGGAGUCGAAGCGGCAUAUAAGGAGCGAACGAAACGAAGCGUCGCGACGGGAAGAAGGCCCGACCAUGAACUCGCCCAACAUUCCGUCCAGAGAGGGAACGGGAGGGAACAGGAGUCGGAGCGGCACCUAGAGGGGCGAGCGAAGGAGGUGAAGUUGGAAGAAGAAGUUAAUUAGAAGCAGGGAAGGAGGCGGAGUUGGAAUAGGGAAAAUUAAAUGGAAGCAGAUUAUGAAAAAAAAUUUGGUUGGGUAGGACCCACCCACUAAUUAAUUACUAAAAUAUUUUAAGAUAACAGGUAGGGCCCACAAAAGUAAAAUUAAGCUAAUGCUGCCACGUGGACAAAGGGAACACGGGCUUUCAUAAGGGUUAUAGAUAGUAUAGAUAGAUAGUAUAGAUAGUAUAUAUAGUAUAGAAGUAUAGAUAUACAGAGUUUUAAAAUUUUAUAUUAUAAAAUUCCAAAUUUUGGAUAUCAAAAUUUUAAUUUAUUCCAAAUUUUCGACUUCAAAAUUUAAAAUUUUAAAUCCUAAACUAUAUAAAAUUUUGAGUUAUUUUUCUAAAUUGGUUUGCUUCAUUGCCUACCAACUAUUAAACUAAUUAAAGUAUUCCUCCAUCUUUUGUCAUUUAUCUAUUGUAAGUCCAAAUUUUAGAACAAAUUAUAUCUAAUUUUUUAACUUUGGUGCUUAAUUGUGCUAAAUUUAAAAAUUUCUUACAAAAUUAAAUACAUGUUCAUAAAUUCUAAAAGAAAUUAUAAAGUCAGUCAAUUAAAAACCUACAAAUCAAGUAACUACUUUUUAUUUUAUUAGUGUCAAGCCCCAGAUUACCACGUUUUCCAAUGCACACGAACAGGCCCCGCCAUAUACAUAGAAAUUUUUCGUGUAUACGAAGCGAUAGUUGUACCUGUAAUCACAACAUAACUACAACCAAUAAUAUGGAGCUGCUAAACUGAAAAUAAAACAUAUAUAUAUAUAUAUAUAAACCUCGAGGGGUUCCUGUACAUACAAAAUGUCCAUAACACCACUCGCACCAGCGAGUAUCCCAACAACAUAACCAUAUGUACAAGAAAGUCCGAAAGCUACUUGUGGAAGGUAUUCCUCUAGCACGGCAACACGACUGGUAAGGAUCUAGCUCGCGACUCCCUUCCCACGGUCCGAAUCAGCGACGGCAGCAGCCACUGACAAAGGCUCUACAAAAAGGAGUCAACAACUGGAUAUGAGAACUACUGUAAAAUAGAGUAAUCCUCAGUGGGUACCGUCACCGACCUCAACGGCUUACCCACUAAAUCUACAGAAAAUAUGCACAAGGAUAGUAAAGGGAGCUAGAAAAACUCUACAACUAUAUGCCACUAUACUAUCUCUAACCACUACAAGCUAUCUGUAGAUAAUAAAAUAUGCAUCACUUUGACCCAAUCUCACUAGGGCUACCCAAACGGACCCACCCUGCCUGUAGGCAAACUACACCAUACACCACCCUCGGGGAUGGUCGGUCUAAGUAAAUGGUCCAAAACAGGACGGCUGUGACAUCAACGCAAGUAAAAGCCUCACUCCGGAGCGACAGUCGUGGGCCCAACCCAACCGAGUAUGCAAGCGUGUCUCUGCCGAGCUCAAUCAGGCUCUCACAGGCUGUAGUCAAUGUAAAUGGAUCUAAUUGGUCUAUCAACCAAAUCUCACGUGCCCUUGGCACAAUCUGAUGCAAGAUAUAGAAAUCUAGGUCCACCGUCAACCACAACGGCACCCGACAGUACCAAACAGUCUACACACUACUGUAAAACGAACUUGACAUCCCAGCACGAGCAUAGCCUCAACUACACUAAUCUGGGUAUCCACCGUAUACUAACAGCGGCGAUACAAAAGAACUACAGCUCCUAAAGCUAAAUCUGGUAAUUAUUUAGAAAUUGACAGUGUAGGGUUAAUAGUUUUCUCCUAAGUCAAUUCCAAGUCCAACAUGUAAAACGAAUGUAAAAUUUAAAGCUCCAACUCAGAUUUCACAAAAAACUAUGCAAAUCGGUGAAUUGAGCUACUAAUAUGAUACUACACAUGAAAUACACAUGCUGACAAAACCUCGACUUAGGAGGAAAUCUGACAAUUUCGGUAAAUUCAACCCACCUCGAAAAGCUCGUCCAACCAUGGCGAGAAGUCGAAAGGAGGGAGAUCCACGCGCUCGCCCGGCCUCCAACGGCACAACCGCGACGCACACACGUUUGAACGGCCCUCCGGAUCGACGUCGAGAACCGCCCAAGCUCGAGCCGCGAUUUUCACCACGAACUACGUCCAACACUAAAGAGAGAGAGGAAGCAACAACCAAAAUCCCCUCUCUGAGCUCUUUACAUGUAUAUAAAGGCUGAGAAGAAACAUUGGGUUGAACAUCAAUUCAAAGGACCAAACUAUCCCUUACCAACCCAAAAAUCCAGCUAGGGUACCAGUACCCAACUUCAAUACCGGUACCCGGCCCCUUAGUCCACAGCCUCGCAUACUGGGUACCGGUACUCGCCCGAUGCAGUACCGAUACUCGGGCUCGGUACCGGUACUUGACAACCAGGUACUAUUACUCAGCAUCAAUUACGCGCAAACCCGAGAGCUUCCAUCUUGGCCAUCCACUGGGGUACCGGUACUCCUCUCAGGUACCGGUACUCAACACUAAAAUCCUGCAUUUUGCAGAUUUCAGUGUCAGAAUUCUACUCUCGCGUCGCGUUGAGUCCGUUUUGUAUCCAUCUCGCGCCAAAACGACUCCGACUUGUUCAGACACUCUUCAGACGUGUCGACAAGGCUCAGAUGCUGAAAUCAUACAGGCUGCUAAACACCAAGGACACAACAAUUAUAAUAUUUUCAAUUCUCGAUAAUGCUUGAAUGGGUCGACAAAAAUAAUCUAAAUAGAGUUAGAAGAAUAAGAAUUAAAAAAGAACACAAAAAAAAUGUAUCUUUUAGACAAACUGGUCUAAAAAUAAGCAUAUUACAAACUUUUUCUUUUUGCUCCAGAAAAUUUUGAAAAUUUACGAAAUCCCAAGAAUCUAAAUAGGAACUAUCAAAUACCUAGAGACAAAAUCUGUAACAAAAUUUUAUAUUUUAAAAUCAGAUGUUGAUACAAAUUUGUGUUUAAUAUAUAUAUUUAAUAGAAAUAUAUACUAUAUUUAUAAAUAUAAUUAAGAAUGUACCCAUCGUACCCGCAGCAAAGCACGGGUACGAGGGUACAUCGCUAGUAUUUUACUGUAGUCUAUAAAUUCUGUACUAACUAAUUCCAUUUAGUCAAAUGUAACGCACUGGACCUUUGCAAAUUGCGAGGUUCGAGUGUUUGGAUGUAUUUCGAGCUUUUCCACACUUGGUGGAGGGUUGUAAAAUGUUUUCCGACCUAAAAAGUUCGAAAACUGGAAUUCUGGACUAGUCCUGAGAGUUUUUACUCUCGGGGACCGGUCCCUGGAAGGAGAGACCGGUCCCCCAGUGAGCAGUGUUGCGGCAGCCCUGAGGCAACCGGUCCCUGGCGGGCGAGACCGGUCCCCGAGCGCGCCUUCGCAGAGAGAGACCGGUCCUACGCAGGGAGAGACCGGUUCCCGAACGUUGGUUCUCCGGGUUCGCAGCGAGAGACCGGUCCCUGCUGGGGAGAGACCGGUCCCUCUGGGCGAAGACUGCCCAGACCGGGCUGAGGCAAUAUUGGAUUUUUGGAGGACCUAGCUGGAUUUUGUUACAAUAGAGGGUCUAUAUGACCCCUCCACCCUCUCUUCUCCUCAUUUCUCUUCUCUCAACUUCUCCACACCCUUGGUAGAGGAGAAGGAGAAGAAGGAGAAGGAGAAGAAGGAAGGAAGAAGAAGAAGAUUGAGAGCUUUUAGAGGACUUGGAGCAUCUUCCUCACCCUCUCUUCUUCCUUGGUGCUUGGAGCUUGGACUUGGAGCUUGCAAGAGUGGAGAUUUUCACCCAUUGAGCUUGGAUUGAAGCUUCUUUGAGGUUGGUAGCCCUUUCUCUCUAUCUAGACUUUGGAUUUGAGAUUUUUCUUGUGUUGAAACCCUAGAAAUGAGAUUUAGGGUUGAUUUUGGGGCUUUUUGAUCUAGGGCUUUUGAGGCUAGAUUUUUUGGAUUAGAACCCUCCUUUGGGUUAGAUUGGAAGGAUCCUAGCCUUCUUUUGGAGCUUGAGUGAGAAUUUCUACUCCCUAGGUGAGUUUUUGCCCUAUUCUUGUGAUUGUUAUUGUUCGAGCCUAGAGUUGCUCGUAAUGCUUGUGUAUCUCUUCGCUGAUCACUUUUAGGGUAUCUUGAGGCUCGUGGACAACUCCGUUCGGCGAAUCGAAGGAGCACGCGACGGUUCGGUGGGUUUGACCUAGCUAUGAUAUGAGGAAUGCUUCAUAUUUGGCAAAAUAUGUUUCGUAAAGUAGAAAUUCAUGCAUUUCCAUGUUAAAUGUAUUAAUAUGAAUUUUAGAAAUGCUUAACAUGCAAUAUUAUGUAUAUGUGAAAUUUUAGACCCCUAUGUGGUAGAGUGCAUGCAUGUGAGACUUAGGAUUCUAGUUAUGAUUGGGAACCAUGAUUCCUCUGAUGAAAAUGAAUCUUGCUUUCAUGCAUUUAACCUAUAGGCCAAUUGUGACAUUAGGAAUGUAGAAGCUAGAGGGGGCUUGAGAAUGACUAUUUGAGAAUUGGACAAUGUCAUAAAGAGGCAUUGGGCCCGGAUCAGGUAAUCAUUGGUAUAAUGUUUUAAUUGAAACAUAGAAUAAGAUUUGGGCUCGAUCUGUUGUGAUGCUUAAGUGUCAUAAAGAGCACUAAGCAAGUGAGUGUUGGGACAUCACUUAGAGACAUUGGCCUAGAUCCUUGGAUGCUAGUGACCUCGCCAUGUUAGAGACAUGUGGAUAGAGUAUUUGAGACAGUGACCUUGCUUGUUUGCCAUUUUGUGCUCAUAACGCACAUGCUUGUGAGGGUCGCUCCUACAAGCCGGCACUCCGGAGUUAGCCUACGCGACUUAUGUUGCUCGUGCGGUAUUGAGAGCCUACGGGGUCGAGUGGGACAGAUACAUUCCAAUAUAGAGAGAUGUUGGGCUACCACAGGCACUUAGGCGGCGCAAGCUGGACUACCUUUGGUAGAUCCUUAAUUGGAAAUGGAAAUAGACACAGUGUUGAGAAUGGUUAAUCACUACUAGAUAGGUUUAUAGUUGAAUUACAUUUAUAUGCUUUUAGCAUAGUGUUGAGAGCAUGUAGUAUCUUGAUAGUCUCCUUUGUAUUAAAGCAUACUUGGUUGCCAUGACAGAACUUAUGCAUAAUGUAUUCAUAAAGGUUAAUGACUUACUAUUUUGAUAUCGUAGAUUUACAUCACCAUGACAUCGUUUAUACUUGAGUUUAGUAAUUUAGCAUUUUAAUUAUGUCUUUAUAAUCGCAGUCUUAUUGCUAUUAUUAUCGUACCUUACCCUUUUCUUUUGUGGCCUAGUGGUGCAUAGAGCUGAGGUCAGUAAUUGCCCACUGGGAACUAUAAAUUAUAGUUCUCAUGCCCUAUUUUUCUCGAUGUUUUUCAGAGCCUUCCACGCAGGGUGAAGCCAGGGAUCGCGAGAAGGGAGUUGCUUCGAGCUAGCUUCCUUCGAGGACGAGUUGCUAGGUGGUCUACCUCUCGAUUUAUUUUUUUCUUUUGCGAGAGGUUGAGAGUUUUACCAGUGUACUAGAGACCACCACUUUUGUACUUUUGAGACAGAUAUUGUACUACUUAUGACUCCUUUUAUUGUCUAGCUUUACUUCUUUACUUUGGUGUAGAUGUUAGAACUAUAUUCGCUCUGAUAUCAUUAGUUACUAGUUAUUUCACUUCUUUUAUUUAUUCUAUCUCUUGCUUUACUUCCGCUUUUGUUGCAGACGCCUUAUAUGUGCAGUCAUAUGGCAGGUCUGGGCACGCUACCGGGAGGGCCUUCGCCGGUCCCGGGGCGUGACAUCAAAAACGUUGUGGAACACAAAAUAAUAAUAAUAUUACAUAGAGAUAUUCUUUUCUAUUUUUUUUAUAGAUUGUAGCAGUUAUAUCUUAAUGAAAUAUACACCAUUUACUAAACAUAUUAUUUUUUACGAGAACAUAUAAAAUAUUUUUCUAUUGGAUUUUUCUAAUUUAGGUAAUGCACACACACAAUUUCAAUCGACAAAGCUAUAGUUUAAUCAUUAACUAUGUCUAGUGUACGUGACAAAGAACUUGAUGGUUAGGAUUUAGGAUUUAGGAUUUAGGGUUUAGGGUUUAGGUCCAUCCAAUCAACAUCCAUCAGAGAAAUUAUUGUUUGCAUUUGGUGUAUGCAAAAUGCUACUAUGGUGUAAAUCUUGCACUCACUAUCCAAAAAUUUAAGAACUAUUAUGGGUUUUAGCAUUAAGAAAAUAAAGGUUAAUAAGACUAGUAAAUAAAUAUUAGUCUUUGAAAAGUUGGGGUGUAAGAUUUAUAUCUCAUAUUAUAUAUGGAUGUAUAGAUAGCACUGCUUGAUGUAUUUGUGUAGCGAUGAAUUAUCAAUCUAUCAUUUUUUUUUUCUCGUCUAGUGGUGCAUACAGACCACCGCCGACUUCAGUACCUCCAAACGCAAUCAAAAUUGCAACAGACGCAUCACAUGAAAUGGAUAAUAUACUUGCAGCAGUUUAAUCUGGUGAUCAAGUAAAAGAAAAGCGCUCACAAUAAACUGGCUGAUAUGCUAUCACGACCACCGAUAGCAGCACUUUGCUUGUCGAUAUUUAUACAAGUUUAGCCAAAUUUUCAUGAGUAUGCAAGCUUAUAUAUAGAAGAUUCAGAUUUUCGAGGCGUUACUGGCUGACAUCGAAACAAAACGACUUACUGAGUUUGUCUUGCAAGGCGGUCUACUGUACAAGAGUGCCUUGUAUGUGUACCUAAAUAUGGCAAUCGAGUACAAUGGAUCCGAGAAGCCUACACCUCGAAGGUGGCGGGUCACUUUGGGGUGAAUAAAAUCUUACAAAAUCUCCAAUGCUACGUCUAUUGGUCUCACAUGCUAAACGAUGUGGCGUGAUUUGUGAAGGGUUGUGUCCUGUGUUGCACAUCCAAGCUCGUUAAUCGAAAGGUGAGCCUCUAUACUCCUCUUUCGGUGCCGACUCAUUCUUAGGAAAGUAUCUCCAUGGACUUAGGCCUUCAGAGGAUCCAACGGGGACACGACUACCUUUACAUAGUGGUCGAUCGCUUCUCCAAGAUGAUAGUUCUUGUGCCGUGCAAGAAGACAGUCAUCGGUGAGGAAGCAGCGUGGUUGUUCUUCCAACACGUUGGACAUAUUUUGGACUACCAAUCUCGAUUGUAUCUGACCGUGAUAGCCAUUUUCUAAACAACUUUUGGCAAUCUUUGUGGUCCAUGAUGGAUACAAAGCUACAACGGAGCACGGCUUUCCAUCCUCAAAUCGAUGGUCAAACAGAAGUGGUCAACCGGACAGUUGUAUAUUUGCUGCGAGGAUAUAAGGCUCGACAUUCUAAGACUUGGAACGAGAGCCUUCCAUACUUGCAGUUUACGUUCAUCGAGCUAUAUGCAGUUCCACUAACAAUACUUUCUUUGAGGUGUGUUUGGGUUACUUACCAAUAAACCCAUUCGAUUUGGCAUUCACGGUCGAGUAAUCGUAAACCACCAAGGAGAAAAAUGAAAUGGCAAAGACACAGCGCUUCUUGAAGAGCAUUCAAAAAGUGCAUAGUGAUGUGGAGCAACAAUUACAAAAAUCUCAUCAGAAAUAUAAAGAACGACAUGAUCGAUAUCGAGUGAAAGGCGACUUCCGAGAGGGUGAUCUCGUCUGGCUCUAUCUCAACAAAGAGAGCUUGAAAGGCGAUGUCACACCCCGCCGUCCCUUCUCCAAUUAGGUAGAAGGUUCACGCAUCGGCGCAUGCGCCAGACCCGCCAAACAGACAAGGUUUUUCCCCACCCGUCCAAGGCGUCACAACAUACAAACACAAGAUAUUCCAAACAGGAAUCGAGUACAUGCAUAGUGUAAGGUAAGCAUCAUACAACACAAGCAUCACUAUGUUAUUACAACAUUUCAUUCACUUACAUACAUGUCACCAUCCAAAACAUAAAUUACAUUUUUGUUCUCUUCCCUAGUUACUACAUGAGUCCAAAAAGGGAUACAACUAUAAAAUGAAACCAAAAGGGAUGGACGCUAUCUACUGCUCCACGCCCUUUCCACUCUCCGCCGCGUCCGGCUCUGAUGGGCCUGAAAAAUGAGGGUGUAAGAACUCCAAAUAAUUCCCUGUCACGCCCUGGGGUCCCUUUGCAGUUUGGAAAGACAGCGGAAAUGACUAAAAUAUUUUUUUUUAAACACCUGACCCCAGAGUAUGUCAGAUCCGCCACAAAUACAGGGAAUCCACUGUUCACACGGACAGAGUCUCCCCUGUAUUUGCACGGCGUCGCACAAGUACGGAUACACAAUCAGAGUACAACCAGAAUACAACCACAACCAUAUGAACAUACGACCACAACCGCACAUACAGACGUCCAUACAUUCACCAUUCACAACACGACUGUAUCCAUAAUUUUGAACAUAAAUCCAGAUCUAUCAUUUGAAACGUUUCCUACCCGGAAACAAGUUUGAAAUACUAAGUUUCAGAAAUCCAUUGAAAGCUUCUUUUAAAACUGUUUCCCACACGGAAACUUUAUCUUUUAAAACGCUACCACGAGGGGUAGAAAACCAUCGAAAACUGUAUCGAAUAUGAAAACCCUUUUCUUUUUAAAACAAGCGCUACCACGAGGGGUAGAAAACCAUUUUACUUGAAAAGCCCAUAAAUCUCUUUUUAUCACGAAAACCCAGCAGAAAACUGAAUAUUCAAGUACCGAAUGAAACUGAACCGUAAUGAAAGUUUACUAUUUAUUCAAGCAAGGGAAAAGAGAUAACCAAACGGGACGGAGCUCUAACGCGCGCUAGACUCGCUCCUCACCUGCCGUCCCACUCGGACCUGCGACGUCACCUGUAAUGGGGGCGGGGGGUGAGAACAUGUAAACAUGUCUCCCCUCCCAGUGGGUACCGCAAGCCGACGAGGGCGAGGGUACGCACCAGCAAAGGAGGCUAAACAACAGUAAAGGUAAACAACUACAGUAGCUACUAUGAUAUAAGAACAGAAAGUACAAGUAAGGAACUGAUGUACAAGUAAUGAACUACUGCUACUGUAUGUAUGCAUCAACUGGUGGAUAGUCCAAGGAUACCCAAUCUAAACCUGCCUUGUUGGUCCGGAGACCUCAGGCUAAUGCCACAAUCACUCAACCUGCAUAUACCCAGUCGUAACCUCUGAGCUCACGGGUGGGCAAACCCAACCACUUUUCCGGAAAAGAACACCCCCUGCGGUGGAUCAGACCGCUGGUGUUCGUGAAAUGCGAACGAGUGGUGACGAUCGAUGCUGAUAUGCUCAAUAGCCAACCGUCGGCAACCAGCCGACAAUCACUGCCCCUCUGGGCAAACCGACCGUAUAGGUCAUCAAGUACAACGUGAACCGACCGAGAUAGGUCAAUGUACGUAAAGUAACGAACGACCAAACAGGUCACCGAUGCAACAGGAGAACCGACCAAUCAGGUCACAUGUAUAGUAUAUACUAAUGCCAUCUACUCUACCCCUACACAGAAUACUACGCAUAGGACAACCGGGCAGAGUAAAUAAAGACAGUAUGGUGCAAGGCUCAAUAUGUAACGAGUAAACAAUAUGAAUAGACGAUGUAAAAGAUAGGGUAAAGGAAGACAUCACCGAGCGUGCACCACUGUACCGACUUCGGAUCGAAGUACCCACCUGUAUAAAGCUGAAACGGUCUCGCGAAGGCGGAGACGAAGCGACCGGACCUACGAAGGGUCCACCGGGUUAGAGUCUAACCCACAAACACAAUAACACGACCAUUCUCACACAAAUCCCAAAAUCAAAACCCCUCGGAACUCGGUUUCUCAAACGCAACUACCGAACCAGCCGGAAAUCCCGGAAACCGUACCGAAACUCCACCGUCGCUCACCCGUCGUUUCCGAACCCUCGAGAAGACGCGGGUGACCAGCCAACAAGGCUCAGCGACGCUACAAUCAACCACGAGGCACCGUCGGAUGAAUUCCGAGUCGAACGCGCGUUCUAUCGGCGGAUUUCGCCGAAAAACGCUCCGGAAAUGACCGAUAGAUUUCCGCAAAGGCUUGGGGCCUUGGACGAUCAGUCCAGAGGUUAUCUUAAGCCUUAACCUGCUGCCAACAGCAGCCACGACGAAGCGAAACGCAAAAGGAUCCCUAAUGGCCCAUGAAAUCACAUUAUUUUAUGUGAUUUCAUGGCUCUAACGGGUCGUACCAGCAAACCAGGGAUCUAUGGAGGUUGCCAUCGCACUUGCUGCAAGGUUUCAGCAUGCCUGAGGCCGUGCUCACCUUUCGGAGCACUGCCGGCAGCAACCACGCGCGCACGAGCGACGCGAACCUCAGCGAAACAGUGCGCACAGCGCGAAGAUCGCACAUUACUCACUAACCAGGGCACCGUUAACCUAAAUGGAGGUGAGCAUCGUGUUCAGCACGAGCCCACGAUCACCGUGCUCACCUCCCGAGGUGCCAGGGAGUCAUCGGAUCACCGGAAAGGUGACCGGAACGCAAAACAGCAGUGCUGGAACCAAAGUAAACUACUCACCGGAGCUGUGGGAGCUAGGGAUGGCCGCCGGCGAUCGGACGGCGGGCACUCCGGCCGGUGAUGGGAGCAGCAGGUCGGGGAGGUCCGGGGGAGGUGCUGGCCGGCGGCGGGCAGCAGCCGGUGGCGCGGCGGCGGAGAUCGGGCCCGCCGACUUCCUCUCGGGUUGGAGCUUGCCGGCGGCGAGGCGGCGACCGGGGGAGGUCGGGGCGGCAAUGAUCCGGUGCCGGAGACCGAGGAGGAGGUGGUGCCCACCUCCGGGGGCAACGGCGGCGCUCGGGAGUGGCGCGGCUCCAAGGUAGGCCCGCACAGGACCCGAGCGGCGGCGGGAGGCCUUGGCGGCGGCCGGCGAGGCGCGGGGACGGUCGGGGACGCACGCGCCGGGUUGCAGGAGAUCGCCGGGGUCGACAGGGGGGCUUGGCCGCAGGGGAAAUGCGAUCCCAAGGCCCGCUACCUGAGCUCGGCCUGGCUCGGGUCUGGGCAGACCCGGCUGGCUGCAGCUUCUUCCGGCGGCUCCGGCGUCGCUCGGGGGUGGCCGGGGCCGGCGGGAGAGGGCGCCUGAGGAGGUUCUCGACCAGGGAAAGGUGAUGCUCGGGCUAACAGGGUUCUCCAAGCACCAAACUUAAGCCGGUGGUGAGGUGGUCCAAGAGAGGAAGGGAAAGUUGGCUGCAGGCUGUUUCCGGCGGCCGGGCUGCUCGACGGCGGCCGGAACGCGAGCACUGGCGGGGCAGGGAGGUGCUGGGAUGACAGGGGCGGCUGGGGGUUCUAGGGUUAGGGUUAGGUCCCAAAAAAAACCCUAGAUCCACCUAUAUAUAGGUAUGGAAAACAUGCGGAAAACCCCCUCGAAAGGAGUCGAAUUAAUCCCAGCUCUCAACCAGCAGUCGCAUAACGCACGAUAGUCCCUCUAAGUUCGAAAACUCGCAAUUCGACGCAUAAAAUAUAGGGUCUUUUCGCGAAUAAUCCGAUUACUCAAAUCAGCCCCUUCGCGGACUUUUCGCGAUUCCCGAAGAUCCGUCAGUCGGAUUUUCGAUCGGAUCGCACCAGCGCGAUCGGCACGACGGAGGCAUCGAAUCUAGCACCUCGUUUCGCCCGAAAAGAUUUCCGAUUUGCGACAAAACCAUCCCUCCAAGGUUCCACCAAAAACCACACAUAGACAACUAUAUGCAAAAACCAUUAAACCCCUUUUUCUCGAAAUCCGUGCAUCCAAAUCCAAUUCCGUCAGUGCCCUUGGGUCCAGGAUAGUCGAGCGGUUGAAAACGAGCUAUUGGAAGGCUAUAUUCGGAGUCCGAUACGCGUCGAAAGUCCACUUUACUCCGCGGCCUCUCCGGAAAACCGAAGUUACUAUUCACUUAAGUUAGACUUCCGGGUCGCGUAACUUCUCCGUUUUAACUCGUUUUCUCCUAAAAUUUGACGAGUACACUUAUAAUUAUAUUACACACAAGAACAUCGUCAAACAAAAGGGUUUAAUCAAUAAAUCAAAAAUCUCAGUUAUUACAUUCCCAGUGGGUGCGACCACCCAAGAAAAAAAACUCGACCCACCAGGUCCAAAGAAGGCAAAACAAAUACGAGUUAGUCAAUACAAUCAUAUAUACACAAAUAGCUUAUGCCUCAAAAUUAAACAUGCAUUAUGUUUUCUAAGUUCCACCUGCUAACCACAUUACCCGUCUCACUCAUGAGACAAUUAGUAGCGGAGCACCGCCGUCCUCUCAUAGGCAUUAGGUGGGGAAUCUAUCGUCCACCCCCGGCCGCAAGUCCAUAACUCAUGAAGUCGCUACCUACUUGAUAUUAGGUUGUCAUCCCGAGCACCCCCGACCACCGAAGUUAUUGGUAGCGAGUUCAUCUAUCUCGCCCCUUGCCUUGGUAUUAGGUGGCUUUUUGCACACCCCCUACCAUAUGUCACGCCCGGGGACCCAGUAGAAGCCCACCCGGUGCGUGUCCAGACCCGUCAUAUGCCUACAACAUAUAAAGCGUCUACAACAAGGCGAUAAAUAAAACAACAAUAAACGAGCAUCUAGAGAUAUCAGAGCAUACCACUUCUAAAUUCUAGAGACAAGUGGAAAAAUGAAAGAACUAAUCUUAGUAUAUAAAGCAUAAAGUAGUACAUCAUAAGAUCCCAAAUACAAGUGUUAGAUAUACAAAAAUGGUGAUCUCUACACAUGGGUACAAAAACUCUCCCUCUCUACAUCAAGUACAAAAAUAGAGAGAGAACCACCUAGCGUAAAAACUCCUUGCUAUCUAGCUAGAUACGAUUCCUUUUCCGCUAUCCCGAGCCUCUCCUGUGUGGAUGGCUCUGAAAAUAAAAACAUCAACAUAGAGGGUGUGAAAACUAUUAAUCAAUAGUUCCCAGUGGGUAAGCCGCCGACAUCAGCGAAAUACACCACUAGGCUAUAAAGGCAAAAGUAGUAAAAAGAACUAAAGUAACCACAAAUAUAAUUGACAAUAUAAUUUUGCUAAGCUACUAUGCCUCAACUAGCAAGAUAUUAAACAUGUAAAGCUACUAAUGUAUCAUGAUUGAGUAUAUCCAAUAAGUGUACUAGUAUGCUCUAAACAUGUCCACAUGUAUACAAAUAUGCACUAAAUGUGAUCAACAAGUAUGCUACUAUGUCCAACCAAUUCCUACCAUCGAGUAGUAAUUGUCAUUUAGUUGUUACAUGUCAUUUAUCGAUUUCAAUCUAGGAUCUACACAAGUGUAGUCCGCUUGUACCGCCUAAUGGCCCCGGCUAAUCCAGCAUUUCUCAAGGAAUGUGACUGUCCCACGGCGACCCAGUAGGCCCUCAAUCCUGCACGGGCGAGCAUAUGUCGCAUAGGCCAACUCCGGAGUGUCGGCUUGUGGGGAGCGACCCUCGCAAGCAUGUGCGAAUGAGCACAAAUGGCAAGCAAGCAUGAUCAUCAUCUCAAGUAUCCGAUCAUCAGGUCCCCGACAUGGUAUAAACACUAGCAACCCAAAGGUCUAGUUAUAUGUCAUAGUGUACUAGUUUAACCGUUCACUAAGUCCAAUGCCUCUUUAUAACAUUAGCUUUUACUAUAUCAAUAUAUGUUCCAAGUCCAAUGCCACUUUAUGACAUUGUAUCAUUCCUAUGUUUAGCAUAUGUCCAAUCUUCAUAAGCAAGUAAAAGCUUGUCAUAUCACCAAAUAAUACAUGAUUUCAACAUAUCGUGAGAAUACUAUUUGACAUGCACAUUACUAUGCAAUUUUCUCCCUACUACAUAGGGGUCAUACAAUAUGAUAUAUGACAUAUAUAUUUUAUGCAUUCUAAAAUUUCAUUACGCUCUAUCUAGCAUGAUUAUGCAUGAUUUUUUAUUUUUAUAACAAAAAAUAUAAUAUAGAGAGAGUCACCCAUUUCGGUGAGGUUAAACUCACCAAAAAUUCCUAAAAUCCCCUUCGUUUGCGCAAACGAAGAUGUCCACAAGUCUCCUAACUCCCUAGAGAAAAUUCUAAGAGGGUUAUGCGAAGUGAACGAACACCCCAUGAGUCUAUCUUUAACCAACCCAAGAAAAGGGCAAAACUCACCUUGAAUGGUGUAGAACCCUUCCAAACUCAAAAUGAAGGGUAGGAUACUUCUAAUCCAACCUACAGGGGAGUUCUACACCCAUCAAUUAAGCCUCAAAAGCCUCAAAUUAAAAACCCCCAAAUAAAAUUCUAGAUUCUAAUUUCUAGGUUUUCAUCUCAAGAAACCUACCAAAACAUGAAUCAAAUGAGGAAUUUAGGUUACCAACCUCUCUAGAAGCUCCAAAUCAAGCUAGAGGUGAGUUAGGGUUGAAGAUCUCUCCUCCAACAAGCUCCUAACCAAGCUCCAAAACUUCUUCCAUGGUGGAAAGGUCACCAACAAGCAAAGAGAAGCAAAAAGAAGUGAUUAAUCCUCAAAAGUCCAAACAAAUGAAAGAAAAUCAAAGAGGGGAAGAAGUGAGGUCCCCUACCCUUUCUCCACUGGUUCCAAGCUCAGGAACCUCCAAAGCGGUGUGGGGUAUAAAUAGAGUAGCUACAAUUGCAAAAACACCCUUAAAAAAUAAGCAUUCUGCGGACUGCACUGUGUACCAGUGACACAGGCUGGAGUACCGGUACCAGGUAGCCGAGCUUGCCAAACCGAGCCUCGGGUUUGCGAGAAAACACACUGCGUACCGGUACUCCCGCAAUGCAGUACCGGUACCAGGUCCAGCACCGGUACUCAGCCGAUGGAGUACCGGUACUCUGCUCUACAGAGUCCAAUCCUAGAGCAGUCCAAAUCCUUUAUUUUUGAGGUUUUGGUGCUAAGUUUUCACCCUCGCUUCUCAGGAUGCGAGUCAUAGGUCGGAAUACAGCCAACGACUAUACAGAAAAUUCAAAAAGGCUCAGAUCACUAAUCAAACACUCGAACCUUACAAUUUGCUAAAGUUCAAUAUGUUACACCAUAGGCUUGUGGCCAUCAAGUGUCCUCUUGGCAUUAGGUGGCAUUAUGCACACUCCCGGCCACAGGUUGUUAGGAGUUCCGGAAUUCCUUCACGUUAAGUCACUAGGGUCCUUUUCUUAACCCUACAAUAUCAACAUUUUAAGUUCAUAUCCAUUACAUCAUCAUUCCUAUGUUCCAAUGGCACUAGAUUUUCUAUAUCAUAUGUCAAGUUCUCUACUUCCCUAGAGAAUGUCCUUUAUGCAUCUAGUCCAUAACCUAGGUUCGUUCCACCAUGCAUGCACACAUAACAUUACACCAUGAGAAUUAGCAUUCUAGUUAUCAUGCAUUACUAGCCAUAUGUAAAAAUAUAUCCGCAUGCAUUUAAUAAUUUUUACAACAUAUGUUGAAUUCCACAAGUUCCUAUCAUUUAUUCUUUUAGUUUAAGUACUAUACUUUAGACAUGAGAGGUGACCAAGUCACUUCGGUGCACACAACCCACCUUGAGCUUGAUAGCGCACUCUAUUUGCUUGUAAUCACUUGCAAAUAGAGCCUCCUUCCUUGAGCUACAAGUUUAUCCCCAAGUUUCUUACCCUAACACAAGAAAAAUGUUUCGUUACCAUUUCUGAACCCCAAAACCAUUUUACGUCAUGGAAUCAUAUUGCCCCCCAUGAUUUUCUAUCCCUUAAUUAAGCUUUUAAAGGGUUAAACAAUUUUAGAAUCCGUAAAUUCAAAAACCCUCUUCUAACCUAGGGUUUCCCAUAAAUUAUGGCAAAACCCAAUUCCACACACUAAUCUCUACAAUUUGUAGUUUAGAUUAGUUUAGGGUUUGACAAAAACUCAUUUAGAAACUUUAAAUCCAAAACCCUAGUGGGAAAAUUCCAAAAUCUCACUUUAGUCUCAAGCUCUCACUUCUUCUUGGUCAAGAAGAAGAACUCCACCACCAACUCUAUUUUUCCAAGCUAAACCUCUCAACUUGCAAGCUUAGAAAGUGCUCCAAUGGUGAGGGAGAUAAGAGAGGAGAAGAGAGAGUGAAGAGGGAGAGAGUUCUUUUGAGGUCUCCAACAAGAAAGAGGGCUAGGGUCCCCCUCUUUUAUAGUGGGUUGCACAAUUGUAGACGGCCUUCAGUUUCGGUACCGAUACACGCCUUCAGUUCCGGUACCCGGUUCUCAGUCCCGCAAAAUCCGAACAUUGAAUUUUCGAACACUUUAUUGCGUACUGGUACCCGAUCUCACGUACCAGUACCCAAUAGUAAAGUUUAUGACUCUAAUACGGGUACCCAAACUUGAUUCCCUCAAAAUCGGAGAGCUAAUUUUCCAGCAUUUGUACUACGUACCGGUACCGAACCUCGUGUACCGGUACCCAGUACAAAAUCCACAGAUUUUGUUCCAGUACACAAGUCUCAGUAUGUCAAUACCCGAGAGCAGGUUUUCCACUGUCUGUAUUGUGUACCGGUACCUAGUACCUACUACCGGUACCCAAUGCAAAAUCUGCAGUCUUAGCAUAUCUGAGUAUUUGGAGCUUGUUUUCGCGCCAAAAUCGCGCCGUAAACGCCCAAAUACUUCCCAAACCCUGCCAGCACUACUAGCACAGCUCUACAUACUACAUCUCACUGGAACUCCACAGUUUGUAGAAAUUCAGUACACUACAGGCGAUGGUAAAAAAUUUAAACCCAUUUGUUAUAAGCCUUUCAAGAUUCUACGCAAAAUUGGUGAGAAUGGUUAUCAAUUGGAGCUGCCCGCAUACAUGAAAAUGUAUUCAGUCGUCAAUGUUGAGAACCUAAAACCCUUCGAGCCGUUAAUGCUGGAUGAUGAAUCGAGAGAAGUAUUACAAUCUGUGGAAGAUCUCGUAGUAGAACAUAAAGAGCAACUUGCUGAGAAUACUAUCCUAGAAUGCAAGAUCACGACGACACGCAAAGGUGAACGUGAAUCCUUCCGUGUUGGACGGAAAGGUCAAAAGCCAAAUGCCGCUAAGUGGUUCACAAGGGAAGGUGGGGAAGCUCAGUUCCCUCACUUACAAUUCUAGAUCCAGCAAGUACUAGUUCCUCUCAAAAAUUAGGGAGCCAUGAUCUGGGACAAUCAAAAUUUCGGAUAAUCUCAAUCAUUUGCGGAUAAAGCGGAGGUGGUUCCAACUUCAGUUAGGAUAAGCAUUGAGAUAGUUUGAACGAACUAUUUCGGUUAGGAUAAGUAUCGAGAUAGUUUCAGUGGAUCAGAAGAAGGAUCAAAUUGUUAAACCUAAUUGGAUAAGAGUAUAGCCAAUUUGGAUGAGUAAAAGGAUGUUAUUUUCAAGUAUUUUGUUCUUAUCUUCUUGUAAGCCUGAAGGCUAUAAGUAGUGGCCCUACUGGCUCUAGUAAAAGGCACUCCAGUUUAGAAAGAGUUAAUAUACAAACUCUUCCACAUAAAAAAUAUUGUAUUCUUUUUUUUCUUUUUAAUUUGAUUUCAAAUAUCGAUCGGGGAGGCGCUAUGACAUUGCUUCCUCCUCCGACGGAUCAGCUAUAUGUUACAUACUUUAGCAAAAUUGCUUAUUAAGUCUGUGCGGCGCUCACCUUCAUUCGUAAAGUGUGGAAGUCUACCUCUCCGCUUAGUAGUUUGGACCUACUCUUCCUAUGACUAGUACAAACAAGAGAGUGUUAAGAAAUAUUGUAUUCUAUUGCUUGAGAGUGGAAAGAAACAAUUUAGUCAUCCUAAGAGGGUGGAGAACACAAAUGUAUAUAGACCACUAGCCGCUCAAGAGAGCAAAUAGAAAAGCACCAAGCAACGCAAAACUACAAAUAAGAGCUAGAGGCUACGAGCAAGGAGUCUACAUUUAUUAUAACUCCAAGAAACCCUAAAAGGCUCUUGACUCUUCUUGGCUUCCACGUACACGGUCUUGAGUCUCACAGAGAUGCUUUUAAAAGAUUUUUUGGCAAAACUUCUGAUAGUAAUCCCCUUUGAAAUGUGUGUUGGGAAAUAUGAAUGAGGAUCAAAUAAAUUAUGAUCUUGAGGUGUGUAGAUUUACUUUCUUUAGGGCGUGUUUGGUUUGGACUAUUCUGCCAGGAUUAUAGGCAGUCCUACUCGGAUUACUACGUUUGGUUCAUCCAGUCUGUAAUGUAAUCGGUAAUAUAGCAUUAUAAAUGGAGCAGGAUUUACUCCAAAAAUAUUAUCGAGCAGGGUGCGGAUAACACAUAUUACUCAUGGCAGGUUAUCUUGCAUGUUAUUUAAAAUUACAAAUUUAACACUCCAACAUCUCGCGCUAUCAAUAUGUCGUUUUUAAAUUUUUACUUAAAAUUUUCAAUUAUCAAAUUUUUAAUUUUAAUUUUAAUUUUUCAAAUUUUUAUUUUUUAUUUUCAAAUUUUAAAUUUUAAACUUUUUAAUUUAUAAAUUUCAAAUAUAAAAUUUUAAAUUCUAAAUUUCAAUUUUAAAAUUUAAAUCGUAAAAUUUCAAUUUUCAAUUUUUAAUUUCUAAUUUUCAAUUUUCAAUUUUCAAUUUUAAAAUUUUCACAUUUUAAAUUUUAAAUUUAAAUUUCAAAUUUCAAAUAUCAAAUUUAAAACUUAAAUUUUCAAUAAUAAAAUUUUAAAAUUUUAAAAUAAUAAAAUUUUAAAUUUUAAAAUUUAAAACUUAAAUUUUAAAUUUUAAAAUUUUAAAUUUUUAAAAUACUAAAAUUUUAAAUUUUAAAAUUUAAAAUUUGAAUUUGAAAUUUAGAUUUUAGAAUUUUAAAUUUUAAAUGUCAAAUUUAUAUUUUAAAUUCUAAAUUUUAAAUUUAAAUUUUAAAUUUAAAUUUUAAAUUUUAAAUUUAUAUUUAUAUUUUUAAUUUAUUUUUUAAUUUUUAAAUUUAUAAAUUUUAUAUUUAUAUUUUUAAAUUAAAAUAUUAAAUUUUAUAUUUUUGUCUAGAUUUAAAAUUUAAAAUUCAAAUUCAAAUUCAAAUUUUAAAUUAUUUAAAAUAAAAUUUUGUAAAAAAAUUUUUACUUGUAAACAGUAAAAAUUUUUGCCACAUUAGACUAAAGGGCAAUUGUCACGCCCCAGAUUACAUGGUUUUCCGGGCACGCCAACAGACCUGCCAUAUACAAUGAAAUUUUCUUCUGUAUACGAAGCGAAGCUAUACUAAAUUAUAAUCAAACAACACUACAACCAGUAGUAUAGAGCUGCUAAAAAAAUAAACAGGUAAAACUGAAAGCAAGUUUCAUAUACAUACAUAAUAUUUAGAUACAAAAGUACUCGCUCCAGCGAAUUAUAAUAUCUGUAUGUACAUGAACUCAAAAAUAAAAGAACCACUACCUGCUAAAGAUGAUCCUCUAUCUCGGCGACUCGUUUAGUAGGGCUCUACUCACAACGCCCUUGCCACGGUCGAUCUCGAAGGAUGCAACAGCCGGAACCGAAGGCUCUGCAAAAGAAGGGUAACAACAGGGCGUGAGAACUACUAUAAAAACAAGUAGUCCUUAGUAGGUACCGCCCUCAACAUCGUCGGUCCAUCCACCAAGUCUACAGAAGGGAGCAAAGAUAGUAGGAAAAGCUGGAAGAAAACUACAGCUAAAAGCCCCUACACUAUCAUGCUCUAUUUUAAUCAACUGUAGUAACUGACCCAAUCUCACUGGGGACUGUAAGCAUACCUGUCCCUGGGAAUGUGAACACACCCAUCCCGCCCAGUUGCGACUAUAUAGCUACCUCCACACUAAGCGGUCAGUGGAGAGCAAGUCCAACCUGCACGAACGACACCAACGCGGAAGCACAACGCCCGUCUCCGGAGUGGCACUCGUGAGAGCUACCCAACCGAGUAUGCAGCGUAUCUCUGUCGAGCUCAAUCCGGCUCUCACAAGCCCAAGUCAAGUAACAGGGUCCAACUGGUCUAACAACCAACAAGUCACAUGCCCUCGGCACAAUCUGAUGCCAAAACGGCGAUAUAGGUCCACUGUCAAUCCCGACGGCCCCCAACAGUCCGGAAUAGUCUGAAUGCUACUGUAAAAAUACACUCGGCAUCCCAGCACAAGCGUAACAGAAAUCUAAACUACCUGAGGUAUCCACCACGCCGAUACUGCGGCGAUACAAAAUAACAACGGCUCCUAGAGCUAAAUCAGGUAGUUUAAGCAUAUGACAAAUUAUAAUCGCAGUUUUCUCCUAAGUCAAAUUCAAGUCCAACAUGUGUAGUAUAUACUGGCAAAAGACGAAGCUCCAAUUCAGAUUUUUAAAGUAACAAUAUGCAAUCCAUGAAUCGAGCCAUCUAAAUAUACAAACUAACACGAUAAACACAUGCCGACUAUAAAGCUAUUUAGGAGGUAAACCAACGAUUAACCCACCUCAAACGCUACUCCCAAUCCGGCGCGACGUCGAGAACGGCGGAAUCGCACCCUCGCCCGGCCUCCCUGCGACGCUACGACGAUGAACGCACGUUCAAACGGCACCGCGGCGCGACGUCGGCGACGAUCCAACUCCACCCGAGCUCCUCCCUCCAUGCACGACUCAAGAGCAAGAGAGAGAGAGUUAGAAAGUGCACACCUCAGAUAAUUAAGUUGAUAUGCAUGGAGGGAGUAGGUGUGGCAUCCUUAUCCACAACUCAAAAGAAACAAACAAGGAUACUACAGUAAUUUUGGAAUAGACAAUAUUUUAUUGUCAGAAUUACUGAAUUUUAUAAAAUGAACCAAACAUAGUUAUUCUAUAUACGUUGUACAUUAUUAUAUUAUUACUACAUUAAACCAAACACAGUAAUGCAGUAGUAAUCUGAUUCAAAAAUCUCAAAUACAUGGUUAUGUCGAAAUAACCUGUAAUGCUGCGUAACGCAAACCAAACACGCCUUAAGAUAAUAUUUGGUCCCACUCAAAUGCAUGUUGUCAGGUUACUAAUAAAUCACCUUUAGGAUGUUAUAAGACCACUGAAGACCGAAACCAGCAUUUUUGAAGAUUUUUUCUCAAAAACUUCUCUUUUAAGAAUCAGCAUGAAAAUUAGGAAGAAAAAAGAAUUUAUUACAUUGCCUUUGAUGCCUUCAAACAUUUUCUAUUUAUAAGAGAUAAUAGCUACGAUGAAAUGACACAACUUUUUAAAUUAUAUUUUUUCACAAAAAGACAUGUUUUUUCACAAAUAGUGAGAAGAUAUAUUCUUUCACAAAGAAUUCAUCUUUUUGUGAAGAAACAUAUCUUUUCGUAAAAAGACACAUCUUUACAUCAAAUGAAAAGACAUAUUUGUUCAUUUGAAUAACUAAUUCAUCAAAGAAACAGAAUCAUUCAUUUAAUUUUAAUUUUAAUUUUAAUUUUAAUUUUAAUUCUUCGAGUUAUUUUCUCAUAUCUAUUAUUACAAUAUAUGCUAGCAAUGUGGGUGAUUGCAAAAGAGAAACAUGGAAGAAACACUAAAGGCCUGUUUGGCCUAACUUCUAAAAAAGUGAUUUCUGAAAAAGUGAUUUUAGUUUGGAGAAUUGAUUUUGGUUAAAAGUUGUAGAGCGUUUGGCAGAGUUUAGAUAAAAGUGAUUUUUCUGAAGUGAUUUUGAAAAACUGUUUGGCAAAUUUUUUUUGAUGUUUGCAUAAAUUAAUAUUUUUAUUAAAUUUUAUUUUAAAAUAAUUUAAAAUCUAAAUUUAAAUUUGAAUUAAAAUUAAAAUUUUUAAAUUUCAAAAUUGUACAAAAUUUAAAAUUUGAUAUUUUAAUUUAAAAAAUAAUUUAAAAUUUUAAAAUUUUAAAAUUUAAAAUAAUUAUGAAAUUUAAAAUUUAAAAAUAUAAAUAUAAAUUUAAAAAUAUAUAUAAUUAUGAAUUUUAAAAUAUAAAAUUUUAAUAUAUAAAAAUAUAAAUUAAAAUUAAAAUUUCAAACUUUAAAUUUAGAAUUUAAAAUUUAAAAUUUAAAAUCUAAAUUUAAAAUUUAAAAUUUAAAAUUUAAAUGUAAAAAUAUAAAUAAUUAUGAAAUUUCAAAUAUAAAAUAUUAAUAUUUAAAAAUAUAUUUAAAUUUUAAAUUUCAAAUUUCAAAUUUUAAAAUUUAAAAUUUAAAAUAAUUAUGAAAUUUAAAAUUUGAAUAUUUAAAAUUUGAAUAUUUAAAUUUUAAAUUUUAAAAUUUUAAAUUUUAAAUUUUAAAAAUUCGAAAUUUAUAAUUUGAAGAUUAAAAAUUAUAAUUUAAAAUUUAAAAAUUUUAAAUUUUAAAAUCUAAAAGAAGUUUGAAAUUUGAAAAUUAAAAGUUGAAAUUUGAAAUUUGAAAUUUGAAAAUCUAAAAUUUGAGAUUUGAAACUUAAAAUUAAAAUUUAAAAUUUAAAGUUUCAAAUCUACUUUUCAAAAUUUAAAAUUUAAAAAUUCGAAAAUAAAUCUGAAAAUUAAAAUUUAAAAUUAAAAUUAAAUUUAAAUAUUGAAAUUAAAAUAAAAAUAAAAAUUUGAAGUUUAAAUCUAAAAUCAGAAUCAGAUUUUAAGAAGCAGUUUUUUUCUGCUUCUGAUUUUGGGCCUUCAAAAUCAGUUUUCUGAUUCUAAAAAGCCGAAUCAGAUUUUAAAAAUAAUUUGCCAAAUGCUCUAUUGAGUCAAAAAUCACUUUUCAGCCCAAAAACGUUUUUUAAAAGCUCGGCCAAACACCCCCUAAGUCCCUCACAGAUAGCUAUGUUAGAUCUGUACGCUUCAUGGCUUCUUAACCAAGAAUAUUAUACAUUUUUGGCGUGCUUUAAAACACGUGCAUUGUGGGUACCCAGAGACAGUACUAGCAAUUGCACCGACUGCUCUUUGUUCCCAUAAAAGUCUGUAAGCAGUAGCAGCCGUUGGUGGCUUCGGCCGUAGAAUAAUUUUAUGCGUGAAGCAUUCAAUGUGACGGCGAAUUUGAAUGUAAUGCCGGAUUUGCAAGAAAAGUUUCCCCAUCUCUUCUUUCACUUUGCCCGGAGGGAAAAAAAACAGCGGAAAAGGAAGAAAAAACAACAACUACUACUACUACUACUACUACCAUACAGAGAGAGUCCGCAUCUGCACCUUCAACAGCAAAGAAUAAUCUUGUCAUGCAUUCUAAUUAUAUAGAGAGAGAACUAUGCUAUUAUACUAUAAAUAGACCAAGCUAUCGGUAUUAGAAUAAUCAGUCUUCUAGAAUUAACUAGGUGAUUGAUUGAAUAGUACGAUCAAACGGUUGAUAAUGAUUAAAUAAGUUAAUUUAACGACGAAAAGUUUGAUAGCACUAAAUACUUCGUGCUUUUGAUAGUAUAGCAAUUGGACUAUAUAUAUAUUAUAGUAUAUAUAUAUAUUAUAAUAUAUAUAUAUAUAUAUCACCGUUAAACUUGCAAACGGCUCACCACGGCUAUUAAAAUUAUAAUUUGAGGCCCCUUCGAUCACUAGGCAUGAUAUCGAAAAAUCAAAAACUUAUUUCUAGAUACUUCAAAUACUCUAGGUCAAGUCUAACGGAGCCGAUCGUCGAUUCGAAAGCCCGAACAUCGAAAACAACUUGAAAGCACGAAGAGUUCCGUACUUCCAGAAGCAUACCAACCUCUCUCUCUCUCUCUCUCUCUCUCUCUUUAUAUAUAUAUAUAUAUAUAUAUAUAUAAUUUAGCUCUUCGUAAGGAAGCAUCAGAAUUUUUAAUUUUUAACAAUUAUACCGCCGUAACCGACCAUCAGAAUUUUUAAUUUUUAACAAUUAUACCGCCAUAACCGACCGUUCCUAAAGCAAGUGGCAAAUAGUAAAUUCACAUUUCCAGCUAAAUUUAUUUCUAAAUAAAAUAAAACGAAGCGGAUAGCAUACUACCUAUCUCUCGAAAAAAGAAAAAAAAAAAACAAUUAUACCCCCAUAGACUUUAUCAUUAGACAGCUCAAGAAAUCUCUCUUCAAUUGAAGUUCAUAGUUACACACAUUUUGCACCGAGUCUUGUAGAACUUCUAAAUCCAAAAUAUACAUAAAUGUGCAUAUAAUGUAGAGCUCUCAUGCUUCCAAAAACAUAAAAGAAUUGAUGCUUGACCGUUUGACUCUUGAUAAAAAAUUAUAGAAUUGAGAUAAUAAUAAUCUCCUCCAAAAUAUAGUAUACUCUAUGAAAAUAAUAUUAAUCUAAAAAUUAAAAAUGAUCAAAAGAUUGAUCUAAUAGUUAAGAAAUUAGAAACACCGUAUGACCGGUGCACUUUGGGGAGCAUCACAGUGCUUUAGUAAGCAUCAGUGGACUCUCAUUUGCACAAAAAUAAAAUAAAACAAAAAACUACUCAACAGUACAUACACUGAAACAUUUACACACUCAAAUGAUCAUGUACAUUUUUGGCGACAUCUACCAAUUUUUUGUCAAUUUCGUCGAGAAAAUUCAAAUUCGAACUUCACAUAUAGUGAACGCAAAAAGGGCUAGCAUAAUAUACUUCACAUAUAGUGAACGCAAAAAGGGCUAGCAUAAUAUAGGAAAUGGAAGAGAUAUAUAUACAACAAGAACGCUAACCUCCACCACACUUAGCUCUCUGUGAAAAGAACUAAAAAAUACACAAUUCUCAAAUAUAAUUUCCCACCAUGUAUCUAAUAAUAUACCGUCGGAAAUAAAGAAGAACAAAAUAUUUUAUGUGAUGAAACAACCACUUCUUCAAUCUUAAGAUAACAUACCAACACUUUACUAUGUUAGAUACACAGCAAAUAAGCCCCAGCUCACUGUGUUAUCACCGUACAAGAAUACAUAGGAGUAGCCGCUACAAAUAAACUUAAAUAAAACAGCAUGUAUUAACUGCAAUAUUUUUUAGAAUGUUGCAAACACAAGCCACCAAAGCCCAUAUCAAAGACAACAGCUUUUGCCGAAAUAGCGAACUCGAAAUCAUAAUAAAAAACAGUUCACAAACACACAUGAAGAGAGAACGGGCGAAGGUACAUGACCAUAUAUGAUUACAUCUUACAGAAUUACAUAUUCAUUCUAUAAAUCAGUUAAAUUUAAUAAGCAUACGGGCUGUCAUUAGCACUAAGAGCUGCAUAUAUAAGGCAGCUAUGGGCGGCAACUGAGACCAGCAACAUAGAAUAUAUAGACUAAGAAGAUAUAUAUUUACAUGAUAGGUUGAAAAAGUGCAACAAAGUGCAACCCUCUCUUACUAUCUUCUUCAGAACAUAUAUUAUAUAUAUUUAUAUAUUUAAUAAAGAGCAGCAGACAAAUUUCACAAGCAAAAAUCGAGCAAACAACCAAAACUGUAGUAAAGGAGACCUCCGGAGGAAAGCAUCAUCCACUAGGAAGAUAAGGUAAGGCUUACUACAUAACAGCACAACCCCACAACGAAAAGGCUGUUGCUUUUGCCCAUUCAUUCAUUAGUAUUACUUUCUGUCCACUUGAAAGGACCUGCAUAAUGGAUGACAGACAAAAGUUAAGUCUUUCUCUGGUAUAAUAAAGGGGCAAGAAACAGUCGGGAGCUCCUGCUGUGGCACAAAGAUAAAAUGAGCUUUUGGUCUCAAAAAGUAGAAAAGCUCAGAUGCGAAGCUUCUACUUCUGCUACAAGCUACAUAAAUAUAUAACAUGAAAGCCCAUAAUUACUUCUUCAAACAGUUAUACUUGAAAAGAACUUCCGCAGAAGCCUCAAUUGGGCCAAACAGGCCUUUAAUUUAGCGUGUAUUCCAAACAUGUGUCAUCUAGUGUAUUCUGAAAGCAUCACUUACAGUGCCAUAUCAAAAGGCAACCCUAGCAGUUACUCUAAAUCAACUGAAGAUGUAAGCAAGCAGCCCUUCAAUUCUCUAACAGCUGCCACUUUUUCUUCCGAAGCAGCAGUACUCUCUUCAACCCCUGAGUUUAGUGUGGCUGGAUUCAUCUUCUGGACCUCCUCUCGUGUAUAUAUGAAGAUUUUACGCACCAUUCUACAAAAUUCGCUGUUUCAAGAGAGAAAUUUAGUUGAUAUAAAUGCAUUCUGAAGAUUAGCAUUUCCACAUCAAGACAACAUGUAUAAAGCUGCAUAAAAUAUUGAACACUUACGGCCAUGGAUCAUCUCCAACCAGCAUCAUAUCUCCCUCAUCAUCCGUGUAUACAACCCGCCAAUUUUUUAGGGGAGCCUUUAGCUCGCCUUCGAAUUCAAACAUCCGAUCCAACUCAGCAAUCAACUCAUCAUAGUUGUUGAACUUCAUAAGGUCCACGGACCUGCCAAGGGCAAUUCCCUGCUUAUGCACCUGAAAAAUAAAAAAAAGUCUCCGCUAACACUAAUCCAAAAACUAGAUCCCAUUAACUAAUCUUGAGAAAACUGUACAAAUACUUCAUAAUUGUAUACUGCAUUCCUUGAUAAAUAUAAGCAACAUUGACAACAGCAACACAGAAGAAUUUGGUUCCAUCCUUCCACAACUCCUGAUUUAGAAACUCGGUCAUAUAGCCUGAAUAAAACCAAUAAUGGGAGUUUUGAAACAUUAAAUUUUUCAACAGAUAAAUCCCUUUGUCAAUAUAAAAAUGUUUCACCGAAGAUAGGGAAUCAUGAUAAGAACAGCUUAUAAGAUGAUGAUGAAAGUCUGAUGCUCGUCCUGGGCAAAUGUUUUCUCCGAAAUUUGUAAGAACUAAAAGCAGUCGAUGACACCUAAAAGGUGUUAAACUAUUCAUUUAUAGCAAUGCAAGAUUCAGUAGACUCCAAAUUUGUGAGGAAAUGAGAGAUCCUUUCUACUUUCAAUUCGAAAAAAAUAGGGAAAACAAAACCGAAUUAAAAAACAUAUUGAUAAAAAGCCUCAUAAUUUUGCCCACAUUCUUGUUCUUCUAGUGUAAUGUAUGACCCUAUAAUUACAACGAUUCAGCUCAGACUCCUAAAUAGAACAUGCCACCUUGCUUGUUUACUACCCAAAAAUCGUAUUAAGAAAACUAACCGCAUGCAAUCAUGAUACAUGAAAAAAGAGAAUAUUAAUUAUGUACGACAAAGUACCUUUGUGCAGCUCCUUGUUGAGCCACCAUGAAGUUUGCUCUGAACAUCUUUAAAAGAUGGUUGACAAGGCUGAGUGUUUUUCUCCAUAUUACAAUUUGUAGCAGCAUCAAUUGACUUUGUAACCUUGGGUGGCUCAGAAUACUUUUCUGUAUCUCUCUGCUGUGAUUUCUGCCGUGUUGCUUUUUGUAGAACAUUCAACUGUGGCUCAUAAGGCAAACUGGUUGGUGGAAAGGCUGGUUCAGUUGUCGCAGGACUGCUGUUAAUCUGAAUCCCAAAUAGCUUACAGCUAGCACCUGCUUUAGGUUUCGCAACAUCACCUUGAGCUGAUGAAGGCUGAGGUUUCGUCGACCUAUUUUGAGAUAAAUUUUCCAUUUGACCAGGCACAAAAUGGCCAAACCAGUUUGAAGAACUCUGAUCAAUCCCUGGGCUCUGCAAUGCGGAAUAAGCUGCUCCCUGGCCACCAUAUCUACUAUUUCCGGUUUUCUGAUAAGGUAGCUCGACAGCUUGAGAAGUCAACUGCCCAUUAAUGCUGAAGGCAGAAUUCACAGGCAUUAAAGGCCACGAGCUAGGAUAGAUAGUAUUUUUGCCUUCCUGAUCUUGAUAAUGUGUCCUCCACAGAUUUACAUCACUCAAAGUUGGGUUGAAGAAUGAACAAAAACCAUGUGAACCACUAGGAGUUUGAUAAUGUGCUUUCUGAGCUGCAUAACGAGCUUUUUCACGCAUUGGAGGCCACAAACCAGGCUUUAGAGCCGUGUUCGACUCAUUGCUAUCAGGAAACGUGUUUUUCAAGGCCGUGACUUCUUGAUCUUGCAAGACCCUUGGAAGGCCGUGGUGUUGAGAAGGGUCUGCAGUGACUUUUGAAGAAGCUGGAAGCAAAAAAUGGUAGAUAAGGCAUAUGAUAAUAAAACUCUCCAAAUCACUCUAAUCUUUCUAAGUCAACAUUAAAGUAAGCACCUUCUUUUGUAAGAACUGAUGAAUCGGGGGAGGAUGGAACAACAUUAGACCGAAGCCUCUUAGGUCUCGAGAGUGGAAGAGGGUUCAUGGGAGGAGGGAUAACAGCAGGUUCAAUUUUCCAUGGAGAAACUCUCUCUGGACGAGGAAUAGAAGAAGUUUCAUCCCAUCUCACCUGAAAUUUAAACAACAAUAUACAUCAAACUAUCUGACUACAACAUAGACUAAGUUGUUAGGAAUUACCUUAAGACUCCUCCACUUUGAUCCAUGCCACCUAUUUGGAUCGGCAUCACCUAUCCCCACAAUCGUCCCAGUGAACCUGUGAGUAAAAAUUAAAAGAUUUUAGACCAACAUUUUCAAAUUUUGGCUCCACGUGACUUCAAAUUUUUGCGAUGUAAUUCCAAUUGAGUCACAUUGGAAUCCGAAACAGCUUAUACCUCUGCUCUGGAGCCUCUUCACCCUCAAAUCUCAUCUUGAAUCUCAUCCCUAUCGAAUGGUUGCUCUUGAGGGACUCCAUGUAUUGGUGAUACGGGACAAUAAAUUCAGACGGACUUGUCCUAGUAGAUCACAAAAUAUUCAAAAAAACAUAAUAAGAAAAGGGCAAAUAGAACAGAUUGAAUUGGAAUUAGACGUGGUUGUUUGUAGAAUCCUUAAGUGGCUAGUUGGCCUAGCUUAUGCAUCUGUUUUCAGCUAAAAUCCCCCAGUAGAGCAUUUGGCAAGUGGAGGAAGUCUAGAACUAGUCCAGAACUUCCUUUUGUCGUAAGAACUUGAAAUGACAUAUCCAGCCCGAUAAGAAGCUCCAAUUUGGUGCCUCUUCUACUAUCAAGAGAGAAAAGUAAUUGGGGCCUUUUUUUAUUUUUUCUUGCGACAGCUAUCGGGCAUAUUUCAAUACAGUACUUCUCCUAAUGCAGCUACUCAAACAGCACUUCAGCAAAGGCGCACUGCACCCUACAGCAAGGUCAAACAAGCACUAAAAAAAGCCUUUACACUCCUUCAAAUAAUAGCUCCAACAGUGAACUUAACGUGCCAUAGGAGAUAUAAAAUUAAAAAAGUCACAAGGAAGCAGAAGGAAACCUAGGUUUAUAGUAGACAGUGAACAUGGUCCCUGUGUUAACAGCAUGCCAUGCUGUCGCAAGAACACCAAGGUGCAUACUGUGGCUUGAUAUGACUGAAGAAGGAACAUUUGUCUGUUGUCUCAUUGCGCGCCGGACCCCAACUCUUAGUUCGCCAUUCUCUCCUCUGCAAAGAACACAAAUGAAAAGUUAAGUACAUUGGGACGAUAACGGCAUGGCUUACUUCAUGUGACAAGAGAAGUUGACCUCAGAAAUAUAAAAGCAUCCCCAGCGACGAGCCGUUUGGAACUAACGAAAACACUCCAGCCACUCUGAAGCAGGUGCCUCCGCGGUUGGCCUAAGAAUUUUGAAACCAUAGGAGGAAACAAACAUAUUCUGUAAGAACAAAAUCAUUUCAUUCCAAAUGUAGAAUUAUUUUUGUGAAACAAAAUAUAUAUAUUAUAUUUAAGACAGAAUAACAAAUGCCUCCUCGAACAUAUAAUCACCUUAUACAGGCCAGCAGCAUCAAAACAUUGAACGAAACACAACUUUGUAUCCGAAAAAAGAGGAAACACAAAACAUGUAGAAAACAUGAUAUCCUUAACUCAACAUUUACUACUUAAGAUCACUUCUCACUUGUGAACCAACAAACAGCAAACACAGAAUUUCUAAGAAAUAUCACUAAAGACUGAAGGAAAUUUGACACAAUAUUCUCUACUUUCAGGCUCUAAUAAGUAUUACUAGAACCAACAUUUAUUUUCACCACCACAUUCCACUUGCUCUCUUCUGUUAGCAAAGCGAAAGACAUUUGCUAAAACUCCAUACCAGGACAAUAAAAUCAAGAAAAAGAAGACCAAAAGACUUCACUGUAAGAUAUGGGUGCAACUACCACAGAAAUAUAUGUUAGGAAAUAACAGAGCAGCAUACACAGAAGGGGAGGAAGCGCACAACGUUAAGAGUGAAAUACAGGCUAAUGAGAUCAGCGAAGAAUUACCCCGAAAAAUGUGGCGGAAGCGCCAUUCGACGCUAUGCAAAUCCUUAGCCACCAACUCCUGGGAAGGUGGCUGGCGAGUCAUAUCCUAACCAAGCAUAACACACAAGCAACUCGUUUACACAGUAAAUGGAUAACCAAAACCAAACCAACAUAUCAACACCAACAACCAACGUAUCCCUGAAGCACAGAAGAGGGGCAUCGUGUGGACUACUGACCAGAGGGGGGAGGCACUCGUCAGCAUGGCGUCGCAGCACGGAGAACCCACCGUGCGUGCUCGUAUCCGAUGCGGUCAGCGUCUUGCAGAAUGAGUGCACGUGCGGCCGCGGCGGGGGCGGCGGCGGCACCGCAUCCUUCUCCGCGGAGAACUCGUCUAGCUAAAACGACAAACAGAUGGGGUGCGAGAAUUAGACAGGAUAAAUUCUAGCAAGCUAUAGCACAAAUUCAACAAAAAUUACCCAAAUCCGCACAAGAAUUAAAUAAAGUGCGCAUCGAAGAGAAUUAAGGGAUCGCAGCAAAAAGUACCUUCGAUUCGGGAAUUAGAGUCACCUGGGCGUACACCUCGUCUGUAUCCACCUCUGCCUACGGAAAGAGAACAAUAACCUCCCAUAAGAGCCUCAAGAUCGGAAAGAGUGGAAUCGGGGGAAAGGGUUUGAUCUCGCGAUUAUACCUUCAAUUCGACGUUCAUCACUCGACAGAGGAUCUUCCAGGGGAGAUUGUAGACGGGCAUCUGCUGAUCCGCGACCUGAUUCGUCGAAGCCUCCACCUGAUAAUUCACCAGAAAAUUAAGGCUAAAAGCGCCCAAUUGGGAACAAAAGAUACCGCAUGAAAAGAUAGAUUUCGGAAAAAAGGUAGGAGGAGAAGGAGAUCACGUAGAAGAGGGAGCUCCUCAUAGCACGGAUACGGAGAAGGGAUUCAACCUGCUCUAUAUGGCCCUGAGGGAAGUAGAACACCAGGUCCUGCACUCGCGGCACCGUCACCAGCGGCCCCGCGCAAGCGUGCCAGAGCUCGUUGUAGAGCGCGUCCUCCGAGACUGCGACGGAGAAGAAGAAACAAAGCCCUAAUCAGCCCAGAACAGUAACCCUGGAUAAAGCCCCGGAACUACUCCGGCGAAGCUCCGGCGAUCAACGGGGCCUUACCGUUCGCGCCCCCCGGAGCGCCCGCGCUGACGUGGCCAGCGUCUCCGCCGGCCUCUCCGCCGCCGCGGCCAUCGACGGGCUCGCUGCAACUGGACGAGGAGAAGCUGGGCUCGCUGCGUCCAUUGCUCCCCUUCACCGACACCUCCGACGACGCCAUCACGAACCCCACCUCCUCCCCCGCCUCCCAAGCUCCAGAUCUCUCAUCCACACUCCCAAUCCAAACCCUCCCUCGCUAAAACCCACCCCCCACCCCACUAAAACCCUAAUUCCGGAGAUCCAAAAACCCUAAAAAGCAACAAGGAACUACUCUCCUUCCCCGCAACACAAAAACCCUAAUCUCCUCUCCAAUCCACCCCUCCUCCGCUCGAUUUAUCCCCCCAAUUCCCUCUCCUUCUCUCUCCUCCCCAGCUAUUUUUCUUAGGGCGUCAGAGGAAGAGCGCAGAGUCAGAGAAAGAAGACGACGCCCAGUUGCCACAGAAGCUUUGGGACGGUCGUCGACCAAAAACAAAAGAAAGUAAGAGAGAGAGAGAGAGAGAGAGCGAGAGAGAGGGGUUGAGCUUUAACUUAACCGGGGGGUCAAAAUCCCCGUGCAAUCAUCUUAACCCCGGUCAAAUUUCCGUAAUAGCAUGCUCCCUGCACCAGGCUCACCACGUCAUCCGUCGACCACCCAGCAAUCCACCGUCCACCGCAUCGCUUCCGUAAAUCUGCAGCGUUCGACGGUCUACGUGGUGGACCGAGUAAGGCAAUAAUACUUUCCGCUAAUUCCAACCGGCUUUGUUGAACCGGACGACACCUUCGAACCGGACCGGUUCGGAUCCCCCUCAACGUUGGCGUUCUCACCGAGGGAGAAUGGGGCUUUGUCUCGCUAUCAAUAGGCAACCCCUAUUCACGAGAAUUGUUUAUUUAUUUAUUAUUAAUUAUUAAUUUUUAUUCCCUUAUUAGGCCACGUUUCGAUUGGAGAUAAGGAGUGUAAUAACUUUUUAUCCCCUUUAUAUUUAAAUGCUAAUUUUUUAUUUAAAAAUAGUAAUUUUUGGAUAUUCGAAAUAAAUUGAUAUAACUAUUUUCAUCAACAUCUUCAUUUUCUAUAUAUAACUACUCAUUAUUUUUCUCAUUUCAUAUUAUUUAUCCAAAUGUUAUUUUUUUUAUUUCCGGAAACAAUCCAAUUUUCAUCCAAAUGCUAUUUUUGUUAUCUUCAUACUUAUACCUAUCUCUAUUUCUGGUUUAUACCCGAACCUUAUUUUAUUAUUAUAAAAAACACAAUUAAUUAAUUAUAUAUUAAUUUUUAUUUAUAUUUAUAUAUAUAUAUGCGGUAUGCGGUCGAGCUGCCUAACUAUGGUUACUUUUUAUCGUCGCGAAGGGUUAGACACGUGUCCCGCAAUGAGAGGGGAGUGCGGGGCCCACUGUCCGAUGAUGAAUCUGGGCCGUCCGAUUUCGAAGCGGUGAUCGCGCGGCUCGGUGACGCGACCGCAUCUCGGAGCAUAUCCCGAAGCUCCGCGCGAGGUCGUGGCUCGUGAUGGGUGGUUACCCGUUAAGCCCACCCCCGCUCUCGCUGCGUGGGGUUCCAAUUGUCUACACUGUGGGUUGCAUAUAAGCCAACAACUGGGCCAAUAAGAGAUGCCCACGUGGCUUCACUGUGGGGAAACAGUGUCAGCUCAGCUGUAGAUUAUUACUAUUUUAAUUAAUUAAAAUUUGGUGACAAAUUUUAUUAAAUCUAGUAGAUUUAUUUGUUCUUAGCCGUUAAUUAUUUUAAUCUCAUUCAUCCAAAAUCAAUUAACUAAACUUAAUAAAUAUAAAAAAUUUAAGAGUUAAGAUAGUCUCAACCGAAGAAUAACAAUUUAAAAGUUGAGAUGUAUAUAGUUCGGAAGCUCUCUUUAUAUUUUAUUUUAACAAAAAUAAAUAAAUAUGGCGUAUUUUUUUUUCUUUCACAUAUCUUUCAAGUUAUAUUUGAUAUAACUUUGUGUGAACCGUUUAAAAUAGUUAACAGGUAAGAAUUAAUAAAACUAUUAAGUUUACUAAAAAGUUUAAAAUUAGGGGAGCAAUUUCGAAAAGUUCUAUAGUUGAGGUGGUCUCUGUGCAUUUUCACUCUCACUCUAGUCAAGUCACGUGGGCAUCUUCUAUUGGUCCAUUUGUAAGAUUAUUAUAGAUAAACUAUAAACUUCUGGCGUGUGGAGAAUUUGAAACCCGCUACGUUUCGCUUCUCCUAAUGCUCACUUUAUUAUUUUAUUAUAUAUAUAUAUAUAUAUAUAUAUGUAGGGAAAUAUUUAUAUUUAUAUGUAUAUUUAUAUUUAUAUUUAUAUUUAUAUUAUAUAUGUAUAUGGUUUUUGCGACGUUUCGGUGUGUUCUCGUCGAAUGUAACGCCAUGUCGUUUUGAUUAGGCCGGGAUUAGCUGCGAGCAAUGAACAGCAAACCGCAUGGAGUGCCGCCACGUGGCGAUUUGGUGAGAUAUGAUUGGACGAGGCACGACGCAGUGCGUGUUUGGUGUUCGUGGGCGUGAACGCUCCCUGCGUUCGUGCCCCCUCGGCGGCGUUGAUGGGAUGGCGCGGCCCGAGUCUCGUGACUCCGCGGGUCUCCGGCACGUGCGGGAAAUCCGCGUACGAGGUCGCGCGGGGCACGUGGGCCCCACCCGCGACACGUGCGGCGAGCACCGCCGAUGCCACGUCACCAAAAAUAUUUUCCUUUUUAGCAAUCACGCCACUCAAGUACUCAACUAUAAAUCAUGUUAUGUUAAUGUUAAUAAUAAUAAAGGAAUAAUUAAAUUUCAAGAAAUAUCGUGAUUAAUUAGGUCGCGCCACGUAGGAUAUAUUAGUACCCUUAAUCUCGACCGUCCGUGACAAAUGUACGGUCCGAGAUCGAGCGGUGGAAAACGGGUUAGGUGGGACGAGCCCCCGGGGCCCACACGUGUCCCCGGUGCAGCCGACAACAACUGCCCGAGGAAGUGGGCCCCGCGACUGCCCCCGCCCCAUUGGACAACCAAGCCCGGUCCGGGGUGGGGCCCACUCCCUGGCCCCUCACCCGCAGACCGGAACCCAACCCCGGUUCAAUUCCCUCUCCUUUUCCUUUUUUGGUUUUNCCCCCCCCCCCCCCCCCCCCCGGCGCCCCGAGCGGUCCACGUCACCCUUCCCGGACGCCAAAUCGGAUUUAAACUAUAAUUUACCGGACGCCAAACGGAGAUCCCAAUCCGGCUAAUUCCCCCCGCCACGUCAGCACCUAGGCCGACACACCAGCUCCGAAACGUGUAACCCCCUACGCCGUCGAGAGCGGCCACGUGGCGGCGUCUCCGUCGAGCCCCCCUCUCGGCGGUUAACAUACCGGGGAUGUGGGCCCCACGAAACAGCCUCACAUUAUUACGACCGCCCGUUCCGCGCCGCACGAAUCUCGCGUGACGGGACCGCGCUUCUGCGUAACGGCCGACACGUCAGCACGAACCGGGAUGACGUCAUUAUUACGACUUUUUCCGCCCUCAUUUAAUAUUUAUUUUAUUAAAGCGAGAAAAAAGGAAACGGGGGGUCGCUAUCGGUGUUGGAGGGGAGGACACAGGCCUUUAAUCAUGGGAUUAUGAUGGGGAUUAGCACGGGAUUAAAGCUAAUUAAUUAAACGCAAUAAUGCUCCCCCUUUUAGGUGCCCUCUCGCGCCACCGCGAGUCCUCGAGGCUCCGAUCACAAAAACAAUAAUAAUAAUAAUAAUAAUAAUAAUAAUAAUAAUCAUACUCAUUUUUAUCUAGUGUUAUUUAGCUCUUUUAAUUCGGUUUUAUCCCAUCCUUGUUCUAAUUUGUAUCACAUGCUAGUAAGGUCUAAAACGCGUUGAAGGGUCGUGAUAAGAAUAUUUGUCCCAUAUUUAACAAAAAUUAAAAUUUUGAGAUAUAUAUAAUAUAAGAAAAAUGACACAAGAAAUUCUCUCACGGGAGACUAUUUAAUUGACUUCAUAUAUUAUAUACAAUGCACGAAUUUUAGAGUAACAAUUGAUGUUUACUAUUAUACCUAUUUCUUCUCAUAAAAUUUUUCUUGGAUUUUUUUCACCCACUAGCUUAAGAUUUUCCAUAGAAUUUUAGCAACUAUUUUAAGAUAAUAUCUGAGCGCAUCACCCAUUCUUUAUAAUUUUUAAACUUCCUAAAAAUAUAUUUUGCUGCCAAAUAAGUACAACAAUGUGGGAAAAAAAAAAGAUUUGCCCUUUGCAAUUUCUCUUACAUUUUUUUUUCCAUAAAAUUUUUAGAUUAACAAAUAAAAAUUAAUAAAUAAUAUCGGAUGAGUAUUCGGUUAUAUAUAGUUGCAAAUUAUAUAUAAAAAGAGCAAAUCCUACUACAGGAGGGGUCCCACACCUUCCGCCCUAUUUUCUUUGCGAAGCGGAGCUGAUUCGAAAUGAGUUAGAUUUUAUUUUAUUUUUUUGCUCCCAACUCCCGACUUAUUCGGGACGAUUCGAGACGAAUGUAAAUUUUUGACGGAUCGAGACUGAUACGAGGAAAGUGAAGGAUAGGAACGGGAUCUCCACUAAUCCGGAUAUAUUUGCAUUUUUUAUUAAACUAAGAAGGGUGUAAUUUCAAAUAAAAAAAUAAAUAAAUUAUAGGGUGGUAUUUUAAAGAGAGAAAAAAAAUAAAAAAAAAAAAGAAGAAAACGUGUGAGCAGUUACGGAUAUAUUGGGGGACCGCGGGAGCAGGGAGACGUCGCUAUCGGGGGCCACGUGACAUCACGUGCGCGGGGCGAGGGGGUACGUAACGGACGGGCGAGAUUCGGCGAUGGCGACGGUCCCGGGCCACCCUACGGUGGGAGAUAAGGCGUAGGUGGGGACCACCGGGGUUGUGAAUGCGCAGUGAUUCGUGUAUCGUGCCCGCGAAAUAAUUGUACUCCGAGAAUCCCCGAUCGGCGAUCCUCGGCCGUCCGAUCCGUCAUGAUGACAUGUCUCCCCACGGUCCGGGUACGGCUCGAGGUGGAGUUACUGCACCCGACCGGCUACGGACCGGACCGCCCCAAUUCGUCCGGUUCGGUUCCGUAGAGAUAAACAGAUAAUUAUCUAUAUACCCCCCAAAAUAUUCCAAAAUAUCUAAUACACCCUUUUCAUUUUUGGUUCAAAUAUACCCCUCCUAUAUAUCUUGAUUAUUAAAAAGUAAACCCGCCAUUAGUACCCGUAAAGUGAGUAGAGCUACUAUACUAUUGAAAGCACAAAGGAUAUGGUACUUUCGACUUUUUGGCCCUUAAAUCAACCCUUUUGAUAAUUUCUAACCUUUGGAUUAAUACUGUUAUUCUCUAAAAAUCACUAAACUCUAGAAGUACUACUCAACCUUAUUAGGGAAGACCGCAAUCAUUCCAACGGUACAAUUCUUGAUCCAAGGAUCAAAAAAUCGACAGCAUCAAAUUCUCUAUGCUUCCGAUAGUAUAGUAGCUCUACACCCGGUUAAGUCACCUCGAGUUAAAUCUGAGUUAAACUUCUAUAAGAAUUACAAAGAAAUCAAGAUACCUAACGUCGGUGACGGUAAAAAAAACAGUAUAUUUGAAAAGGUAAAAUGUUAAAAUACUUAUUUUGUCCAUAAUUUAAAAUAAAUAAAAAAAAUGGUGACAAUAGAAGAGAAUAUUUGAAAGAAUAAAAUAGUAAUUUUACAGAGAUAAUGAUUGUUCCUAAUGGUUCACGUUAACAUAAUAGGGUAUAUUUGAAGAACUUGUAACGUUAAAAUAAUAUUUUUUAUAUUAGUUUUCUAAACGGAAUGAAUAAAAAAGUUUGAAACUUUUUAUGGAUAUAUAAGUAAUUGCGCUAAAAAUGGAAAUGUAGAAAAUUUACUUACACAAUAUACUAUUUUGGUUUAAUUAUUCAUUUUUUUAAAAAUUAUGAAGGUAAAGAUGUAUAAAAUUUAUUUGAACUUUUGAUUAUGUGGAUCUUGACUAUCCAACCUUUCAGUUUAUUUGAUUUGAUUCAGAUAAUAAUACUUUGACUCUAAAAUUUUAGCUAAUUAUUUAUUUUAAUAAAAUUAUCUUUGUGAUAAAUGCAUGGAAUAUACUAACUGAACCUAUAAAGAUAAAAAACAUAUUCAAAUUUUGACAGAUUAACUAGCCAAAUCUAAAUAGUCUACAGUUCAGAUAAGUUGCGUACGAAUUACCUUUUUUAUUCUAAUA
rnacentral:lncRNA from 1 species